rnacentral:rRNA from 1 species
AGAGUUUGAUUAUGGCUCAGAUUGAACGCUGGCGGCAGGCCUAACACAUGCAAGUCGAACGGUAACAGGAAGCAGCUUGCUGCUUUGCUGACGAGUGGCGGACGGGUGAGUAAUGUCUGGGAAACUGCCUGAUGGAGGGGGAUAACUACUGGAAACGGUAGCUAAUACCGCAUAACGUCGCAAGACCAAAGAGGGGGACCUUCGGGCCUCUUGCCAUCGGAUGUGCCCAGAUGGGAUUAGCUAGUAGGUGGGGUAACGGCUCACCUAGGCGACGAUCCCUAGCUGGUCUGAGAGGAUGACCAGCCACACUGGAACUGAGACGCGGUCCAGACUCCUACGGGAAGCAGCAGUGGGGAAUAUUGCACAAUGGGCGCAAGCCUGAUGCAGCCAUGCCGCGUGUAUGAAGAAGGCCUUCGGGUUGUAAAGUACUUUCAGCGGGGAGGAAGGCGAUAAGGUUAAUAACCUUGUCGAUUGACGUUACCCGCAGAAGAAGCACCGGCUAACUCCGUGCCAGCAGCUGCGGUAAUACGGAGGAUGCAAGCGUUAAUCGGAAUUACUGGGCGUAAAGCGCACGCAGGCGGUCUGUCAAGUCGGAUGUGAAAUCCCCGGGCUCAACCUGGGAACUGCAUUCGAAACUGGCAGGCUAGAGUCUUGUAGAGGGGGGUAGAAUUCCAGGUGUAGCGGUGAAAUGCGUAGAGAUCUGGAGGAAUACCGGUGGCGAAAGCGGCCCCCUGGACAAAGACUGACGCUCAGUGCGAAAGCGUGGGGAGCAAACAGGAUUAGAUACCCUGGUAGUC